UGCAAGUCGAGGGGCAUCACGGAAAAGCUUGCUUUUCUGGUGGCGACCGGCGCACGGGUGCGGAACGCGUAUGGAACCUGCCCCUGUCAGGGGAAUAGCCCAGGGAAACUUGGAUUAAUGCCCCAUGGUAUCGAUAUAUCGCAUGAUAUUUUGAUUAAAGAUUUAUCGGACAGGGAUGGCCAUGCGUACCAUUAGUUAGUUGGUGGGGUAACGGCCCACCAAGGCAGCGAUGGUUAGGGGCCCUGAGAGGGGGAUCCCCCACACUGGUACUGAGACACGGACCAGACUCCUACGGGAGGCAGCAGUGAGGAAUAUUGGACAAUGGGCGGGAGCCUGAUCCAGCCAUGCCGCGUGCAGGAUGACGGCCCUAUGGGUUGUAAACUGCUUUUAUACGGGAAGAAAUGCGCCCACGUGUGGGCGUCUGACGGUACCGUAAGAAUAAGGACCGGCUAACUCCGUGCCAGCAGCCGCGGUAAUACGGAGGGUCCGAGCGUUAUCCGGAAUCAUUGGGUUUAAAGGGUCCGUAGGCGGGCCUGUAAGUCAGGGGUGAAAGUUUGUGGCUCAACCAUAAAAUUGCCUUUGAUACUGCAGGUCUUGAGUCAUGGUGGGGUCGCCGGAACAUGUGGUGUAGCGGUGAAAUGCAUAGAUAUCACAUAGAACACCGAUCGCGAAGGCAGGUGACCAACCAUGUACUGACGCUGAUGGACGAAAGCGUGGGUAGCGAACGGGAUUAGAUACCCCGGUAGUCCACGCCGUAAACGAUGGAUACUAGCUGUGGGGACUUCGGUCUCCGUGGCCAAGCGAAAGUGAUAAGUAUCCCACCUGGGGAGUACGUUCGCAAGAAUGAAACUCAAAGGAAUUGACGGGGGCCCGCACAAGCGGUGGAGCAUGUGGUUUAAUUCGAUGAUACGCGAGGAACCUUACCAGGGCUUAAAUGCAGGCUGCAUGGGGUAGAGAUACCCCUUUCUUCGGACUGCCUGCAAGGUGCUGCAUGGUUGUCGUCAGCUCGUGCCGUGAGGUGUCAGGUUAAGUCCUAUAACGAGCGCAACCCCUACCGUUAGUUGCCAGCAUGUCAAGAUGGGGACUCUAACGGGACUGCCGGUGCAAACC
rnacentral:rRNA from 1 species